UAAUGCUUUUCACAAAUGAUUUUAUCCAAGGUGACUUACAUUACUUUCAAGUUAUACAUUUAAUCUGUUCAUGCAUUCCCUGGGAAUCGAA